ensembl:lncRNA
UAGCAGAAAUUAUCAGCCUCUCCAAUUCUGUCAGUUUUGGAAUGGAAAGGUGAUUCUGAUCUUAUUUAUGUGAAUCUUGAAGCAUCAAAAUAAUUCAUAUUCCUUUUUUUAGUUAGUUACUCCCAAUUUGAUAAAAUGAGUUCAUACCAUUUUGGGGAAUGAACUUACAGUCUUGCCAAUAGAGUGUCCAAGAAGAAUCGCCCCCUAGCGGACAUUUUAUACCCACUCGGAGGAUACUUGUGAGAUCUUGUCUGUCUCUCAUUUUUUUCUCUGACACACCUUACAAGUUAAAAAAAAUAAAAAGUAUUUUCAGAGCAGUCACUAAUACAUUGAUUUAAUUCUUGAAAUUUAAUUCUUGAAAUUUACUAUCUUCGGAUAGAUCAGAUAGUGUUUUGAUGAAGUUAUCUAAAACAAAUACUGGUGAAAUACAGACUAGACACCACAUACAUCUGGAUUUUACUCUGAUUUCUUUUUUUUUUUUCAGGGACAAGGGCCUGCUAUGUAUCUAUUUCCAUGUCAAGAAAGCCAUGACAGCUUUGGUGACCAAGAAUGUGGGAUCUUUUGAGGAACCUUAAUUUCAGCAGAGGGCUGGAAACAGGUUUAAAGAUGUUCAAUGACCAUAGGAAGAAGAUAGUGGAUUUUCAAAAUAACAUUUGGCAAAAGAGGUCGGCCUGCAGUGAUGUGCACAAGUUUGGGAGGCUCAAGACCUGGUGUCACAUCCUGACUCCAAUCUGUGUAAGCUGCAUUGCUCUGCGCAAGAGAUUCAAACACUAAGAACUGCAGUUGCACAUUUGUAAUACCUACUUCAUUGGUAUGUAAGAUUUGAAAACGUUAAUAAACCACCACACACUAUGUAAGCAUUAGUUAUUCUUGUUAUGACUUUUUUAUUCCUUCUAUAGGGAAAGAGUGCUAGAAGUUAUAGCUAAGAAUUCUACUUACUAUAGAAUUCCAUAAACAAUGUGGUGAAAAAGCUUAAAUACUAAGAUCAAAGAUAUUUGUUCAGUAGGGUUUAUGUGUAUGUUUGUAUAUACAUCUUAUUACUCAGAGCAAGUAAUAUGGUCAGUAAAAUGGGUUACAAUUGUAAACACAAUGACCAUUAGCAUUGUAAAGUACACGUCAGGCCAGCAUGUAAAAUGAUUUUAUUGAAUAAAACCUUUCUAGCUACUUAAUAUCUAAAAGUUACUGUCUUAAUAUACACACACACAAACACACACAUGGAAAUAGCACUGAAAAUAAAAUAAAUGAAGAUGCUAUUAAAUAUAAUGAUGAUGAAAUUGCCCCCAACACAUAGGAGUAGGUGAGCAGUAGGGAGUCAGUGGUCUUCUGAGGACUGGCCUGGGGCCUGGCCCAGUCUCAGGUAGUCCCUUCAAUUCAAGAGAAAUUAAUACACAAUGGACCAGAAUCCAGGUCUACAUAACUUCCUUCUCCUUGCCCAGAGCAGAUAACAAAGUUUGUUUCUGAAAUUUCCCCAACAGACUGCGUAGGCUGGCUUUGGGCCCCCACAUUGAUUGUGACACGAGCCAUACAGUAAGGGCUUUUACCCCAGGGAAGGUGAUGGUAAGCAUUUAGAAGAUGUGCUCCUGAGCUAGGACAAGAUAUUGCUUCAUAAAGUGUUCUAUGUAUUGCGAGUUGUUUCACUUCUCUUGCUUCCCACAUCAAAUUAUAGUAAGG